rnacentral:rRNA from 1 species
CAGUCGCCGCGGGAAUACGAAGGGGGCUAGCGUUGUUCGGAUUUACUGGGCGUAAAGCGCACGUAGGCGGACUUUUAAGUCAGGGGUGAAAUCCCGGGGCUCAACCCCGGAACUGCCUUUGAUACUGGGAGUCUUGAGUUCGAGAGAGGUGAGUGGAAUUGCGAGUGUGGAGGUGAAAUUCGUAGAUAUUCGCAGGAACACCAGUGGCGAAGGCGGCUCACUGGCUCGAUACUGACGCUGAGGUGCGAAAGCGUGGGGAGCAAACAGGAUUAGAUACCCCCGUAGUCCCUGUCUCUUAUAC